UGCAGUCGAACGGGGUCGGAACUUCGGUUCCGGCUUACGUGGCGCACGGGUGAGUAACACGUGGGAAUCUGCCCAUCUAUGGGGAAUAACUGCGGGAAACUGCAGCUAAUACCGCAUACGCCCUUCGGGGGAAAGGCUUCGGCCGUAGAUGGAUGAGCCCGCGUCCGAUUAGCUAGUUGGUGGGGUAAUGGCCUACCAAGGCGACGAUCGGUAGCUGGUCUGAGAGGAUGAUCAGCCACACUGGGACUGAGACACGGCCCAGACUCCUACGGGAGGCAGCAGUGGGGAAUAUUGGACAAUGGGCGAAAGCCUGAUCCAGCAAUGCCGCGUGAGUGAUGAAGGUCUUCGGAUUGUAAAGCUCUUUCGACGGGGAAGAUAAUGACGGUACCCGUAGAAGAAGCCCCGGCUAACUUCGUGCCAGCAGCCGCGGUAAUACGAAGGGGGCUAGCGUUGUUCGGAUUUACUGGGCGUAAAGCGUGCGUAGGCGGCUUAUCAAGUCAGAAGUGAAAGCCCGGGGCUCAACUCCGGAAUGGCUUUUGAGACUGGUAGGCUGGAGUUCGGGAGAGGGUAGUGGAAUUCCCAGUGUAGAGGUGAAAUUCGUAGAUAUUAGGAAGAACACCAGUGG
rnacentral:rRNA from 1 species